rnacentral:rRNA from 1 species
UAGGGAAUCUUCGGCAAUGGGGGCAACCCUGACCGAGCAACGCCGCGUGAGUGAAGGAGGUUUUCGGAUCGUAAAGCUCUGUUGUAAGAGAAGAACGUGUGUGAGAGUGGAAAGUUCACACAGUGACGGUAACUUACCAGAAAGGGACGGCUAACUACGUGCCAGCAGCCGCGGUAAUACGUAGGUCCCGAGCGUUGUCCGGAUUUAUUGGGCGUAAAGCGAGCGCAGGCGGUUUAAUAAGUCUGAAGUUAAAGGCAGUGGCUUAACCAUUGUUCGCUUUGGAAACUGUUAAACUUGAGUGCAGAAGGGGAGAGUGGAAUUCCAUGUGUAGCGGUGAAAUGCGUAGAUAUAUGGAGGAACACCGGUGGCGAAAGCGGCUCUCUGGUCUGUAACUGACGCUGAGGCUCGAAAGCGUGGGGAGCAAACAGG